rnacentral:rRNA from 1 species
AGUGGGGAAUAUUGCACAAUGGAGGAAACUCUGAUGCAGCAACGCCGCGUGGAGGAUGACGCAUUUCGGUGUGUAAACUCCUUUUAUAUAGGAAGAUAAUGACGGUACUAUAUGAAUAAGCACCGGCUAACUCCGUGCCAGCAGCCGCGGUAAUACGGAGGGUGCAAGCGUUACUCGGAAUCACUGGGCGUAAAGCGCAUGCAGGCGGUCUAAUAAGUUGGAAGUGAAAUCCUAUGGCUCAACCGUAGAACUGCUUCCAAAACUGUUAGACUAGAGUCUGGGAGGGGAAGAUGGAAUUAGUGGUGUAGGGGUGAAAUCCGUAGAGAUCAGGAGGAAUACCGAAAGCGAAGGCGACUUACUGGAACAAUAUUGACGCUGAUGCGCGAAAGCGUGGGGAGCAAACAGGAUUAGAUACCCUGGUAGUCCACGCCCUAAACGAUGGACACUAGUCGUUGGUAUGCUAGACAUAUCAGUGACGCAGUUAACACAUUAAGUGUCCCGCCUGGGGAGUACGGUCGCAAGAUUAAAACUCAAAGGAAUAGACGGGGACCCGCACAAGUGGUGGAGCAUGUGGUUUAAUUCGAAGAUACGCGAAGAACCUUACCUAGCCUCGACAUAUUAUAGAAUUCAGUAGAGAUACAGAAGUGCCUUCGGGAGCUAUAUUACAGGUGCUGCACGGCUGUCGUCAGCUCGUGUCGUGAGAUGUUGGGUUAAGUCCCGCAACGAGCGCAACCCUCGUCACUAGUUACUAACGGUUAGGCCGAGGACUCUAGUGAGACUGCCUUCGUAAGGAGGAGGAAGGUGAGGACGACGUCAAGUCAUCAUGGCCCUUACGGCUAGGGCAACACACGUGCUACAAUGGUUAGGACAAUGAGAAGCAAUAUCGCGAGGUGGAGCAAAUCUAUAAACCUAAUCUCAGUUCGGAUUGUAGUCUGCAACUCGACUACAUGAAGCUGGAAUCACUAGUAAUCGUAGAUCAGCUAUGCUACGGUGAAUACGU